rnacentral:rRNA from 1 species
GGCGGACGGGUGAGUAACACGUGGGCAACCUGCCUGUAAGACUGGGAUAACCCCGGGAAACCGGGGCUAAUACCGGAUAAUACUUUCUUUUGCAUAAAGGAAAGUUGAAAGGCGGCUUCGGCUGUCACUUACAGAUGGGCCCGCGGCGCAUUAGCUAGUUGGUGAGGUAACGGCUCACCAAGGCGACGAUGCGUAGCCGACCUGAGAGGGUGAUCGGCCACACUGGGACUGAGACACGGCCCAGACUCCUACGGGAGGCAGCAGUAGGGAAUCUUCCGCAAUGGACGAAAGUCUGACGGAGCAACGCCGCGUGAGUGAUGAAGGUUUUCGGAUCGUAAAACUCUGUUGUUAGGGAAGAACAAGUACGAUAGUAACUGAUCGUACCUUGACGGUACCUAACCAGAAAGCCACGGCUAACUACGUGCCAGCAGCCGCGGUAAUACGUAGGUGGCAAGCGUUGUCCGGAAUUAUUGGGCGUAAAGCGCUCGCAGGCGGUCCUUUAAGUCUGAUGUGAAAUCUCGCGGCUCAACCGCGAACGGUCAUUGGAAACUGGAGGACUUGAGUACAGAAGAGGAGAGUGGAAUUCCACGUGUAGCGGUGAAAUGCGUAGAGAUGUGGAGGAACACCAGUGGCGAAGGCGACUCUCUGGUCUGUAACUGACGCUGAGGAGCGAAAGCGUGGGGAGCGAACAGGAUUAGAUACCCUGGUAGUCCACGCCGUAAACGAUGAGUGCUAGGUGUUAGGGGGUUUCCGCCCCUUAGUGCUGAAGUUAACGCAUUAAGCACUCCGCCUGGGGAGUACGGCCGCAAGGCUGAAACUCAAAAGAAUUGACGGGGGCCCGCACAAGCGGUGGA